UACGUAGGUGGCGAGCGUUGUCCGGAAUUACUGGGUGUAAAGGGCGUGUAGGCGGGAAUGUAAGUCAGAUGUGAAAUCCCAGGGCUUAACCCUGGAGCUGCAUCUGAAACUAUGUUUCUUGAGUGUCGGAGAGGAAAGCGGAAUUCCUAGUGUAGCGGUGAAAUGCGUAGAUAUUAGGAGGAACACCAGUGGCGAAGGCGGCUUUCUGGACGAUAACUGACGCUGAGGCGCGAAAGCGUGGGGAGCAAACAGG
rnacentral:ncRNA from 2 species